UACGUAGGGGGCAAGCGUUGUCCGGAUUUAUUGGGCGUAAAGAGCGUGUAGGCGGUCUGGUAGGUCCGUUGUGAAAACUCGAGGCUCAACCUCGAGACGCCGAUGGAAACCAUCAGACUAGAGUCCGGAAGAGGAGAGUGGAAUUCCUGGUGUAGCGGUGAAAUGCGCAGAUAUCAGGAGGAACACCGGUGGCGAAGGCGGGUCUCUGGGCCGGAACUGACGCUGAGGAGCGAAAGCGUGGGGAGCGAACAGG
rnacentral:rRNA from 1 species